CCGUCUUCUCACUUCCCAUAAGUGCUUCCUCUCGAAACUGCUUAUUUCAAAACCACUUUUUUAGUCAUGCUUCUGAGAAGCUCAUCUACACCAAUUUUGAAUUCGUGGCUGCCCAAGUGCAGUAAAGACUCUUCACCGGAGCCGGAAUUUCAGGUUUUACAAAGAACCAAGUCAGUUUCUUUAUCAAACUCACCAUUUCAGUGGUCUCCGCAAUCCACUGAUGAUCACUCAACGAAGAAGCUUUUAACAGCUUCGCCGGACCUGCCAAAGCGGAAAAAGAACAUCUUUCCGCCAUCUAGUAAAGAGCUUGAUGAAGAGAAAAUAUUACCAAGUCCAAGAAUUCAAAGACUGUUUUCGAGUUCUGGUUUGGGAGAGAAACUUCUUGUGAAUGACGAUGAUAAUAAAGAAGGAGGUGGGUUGGAAGAAGAUAGCGUUUUACAAACUAUGGUGAUGGGUGGUGGUAUGGGGAGUAAUGGUGGGAAAAUUUGUGGUGGUAGUAGAGACGGUGCUGGUGGUGGGGGUGAUGGUGAUGGUGGUGGUUCUGGGUUCUUUGAGAAUAAUAAGAGUAAUAGUACUGAUGCCUAUUAUCAGAAAAUGAUCGAGGCAAAUCCUGGAAAUGCACUUUUGCUAGGAAACUAUGCCAAGUUCUUGAAAGAGGCUAGAGGAGAUUUUGCUAAAGCUGAGGAGUUCUGUGGAAGAGCAAUUUUGGCUAACCCAAGUGAUGGAAAUGUCUUGUCACUCUAUGCUGAUUUGAUAUGGCAAUCACAUAAAGAUGCUCACAGAGCUGAAGUUUACUUUGAUCAAGCUGUCAAAACUGCCCCGGAUGAUUGUUAUGUGCUUGCAUCAUAUGCUAAAUUUCUGUGGGAUGCUGAAGAAGAAGAAGAAGAAGAAGAAGAAAAAGAACAGGAUGAAGAUGGAAGUGACCACAGCCGUAUGUCUCCACCAAACUUCUUCCAUGGAGCUCGUCACUACCUUCCUUUAACUGCUGCUUCUUGAAGAUCAUAAAGAUGUUUUAAACACUAGCUGGAGUUGUAACUAGCCAAAUAACAUAUCAGCAACCGAAAAAUGGUUCCCCUACGUGUUGAAUGGAAUUCUCUGUCCUGGAAGAGUGUGAUUGCAGAAAACUUGAUUGCUAGAGAUGAUAGUCUUCCAUACACUGACACAUAUGCAUCCAUCUGACAAUUAGAGGUGUGCAUAUGUCACUUGGAUUAAUACAACUCUCCUUUAUAGAUUGGAGAUAUGUGAAAUAUGGUGUCUAUUAGAUGAUGAAAAUUUUCAAAAUUAAUCAGAAAAGGAAACAGAUUUCAGAUUGAA